rnacentral:rRNA from 1 species
AUGGCAGAGGGCCUCAUUGAUUCGUGCAACCAAAACAAGAGAGUGGAUGAUUUUGGGAGGGACUGCUUCAAGGAGAUGAUCUCUGUUUCGUUCUUUCAACAAUUUGGUAAGGAAAAGAAACACACUCCCACAUACUAUGUUAUGCAUGAUCUCCUUCAUGAUCUGGCAGAAUCACUCUCCAAAGAGGACUACUUCAGACUGGAAGAUGAUAAGGUGACAGAAAUACCGUCCACUGUUCGGCAUCUAUCAGUUCGUGUUGAUAGUAUGAAGCUACACAAGGAUAGUAUCUGCAAGCUACAUCAUUUACGCACUAUUAUCUGCAUUGACCCCCUAAUAGAUGAUUCACUUCUGUUAAAUCGGAAAGUUGAGAGUUUUCCUGAGAAACUCUGCAAUUUAUGGAAAUUACGUCAUCUUGAAUGGCACCGUGAUUGGCAUAAUGAUUUAAUACUCAAGCCAUACAAAGAUGCACCGCAUCAAAUUCCUAACAUUGGCAAGUUAACUUUGCUUCAACAAUUUGAGGAUUUUGCUGUGCAAAAGAAAAAAGGAUAUGAGUUGCAACAACUGAGGGACAUGAAUGAGAUUCGAGGCAGUUUAAAUGUCACAAAUCUUGAGAAUGUCACUAGCAAGGAUCAAGCCUUAGAAUCGAAGUUGCAUCAGAAAAGUCAUCUUGGAAGAUUGCGACUUGUUUGGAACUGCAAAAAUAACACGAAUGAAGAGGAUAGUUUACAUUUGGAGAUUCUAGAAGGACUGAUGCCCCCGCCUCAACUUGGGGAUCUUGCAAUUGACGGUUACAAAUCUUCAAAAUAUCCCUGCUGGUUGCUUGAUGCUUCAUAUAUUGAGUUUUUGCAUUCUUUAAGCUUUGCUAAUUGCACCACAUUACAAAGCCUACCAUCCAAUACCGAACUACUUAGGAAUUGCUCUUCACUUAUCCUCUGCAAUGUGCCAAACCUGAAGACAUUACCUUGUCUUCCACUAGGCCUUCAAAAUAUACGAAUAGAAAAAUGUCCGCUCCUUGUAUUUAGUCCCAACGAUGAGCUGGAAUAUGAUGAUCAGAUUGAGAAUAUCAUGAGGACAAACCAUUUGGCAUCACAACUUGGGUUAAUCUGGGACAUGGAUUCAGGAUCACAUAUUAGGUUUGUACUCUCAUUGGAACAUUCAUUUCUGAAGCAGCUAAUGAUACUCACAUGUUCAAAAUCUUGA